CUCACCUCUCUUCUCUCUCUCCCCGACCCAUCUCUUUCUCAUCUUCGCUCUCUGCCACCACCGGAGACUCCAACUCCGGCCACCAUCUCGCCACACCGCCUCCUCCAAUCGACGCAGUACCUAAACCCGACCAUAACCCGAGCCUUACCGUCGACAUGCACCGCCGGCAGCCACCGCACGCGACCACCACAGUCACGACACCACUGCUCCUCCACUUUCUCUGAUCUCCGGCCGGCGCACGGGCACCAUUCUCUUCGUCUCGCCGUCGUCGACAACCCCGUGUCCUUGGAUCAUCCAUGCAUCACACAAGGAAGGAGAAUCGACGAUCCAAAGCUUGAAGAUCCUCCGGCGAGCUCUGCAAAUUCCGACGACUCCGGCCACCGAUUGGCAGCAUGUGGUAUGAAAAUCGAUCCCCUCGUCAUUCUCUACACGUUGGGCCAAUUAGUUUUUCAAUUCGAACGAUUUUGACUGAUUGGGUUUCUGGGUUGGCUUCGGCUCCGCCAUGUUCUUCGAUGCCGGCGACUGCUCCGACCUCUCUGGGCUUGGUUCCCGUCCUGACUGCACCUGUAGAAGAGAAAUUGUGAAGCUUGUUAGGUUAUUGGCAGCUGGAUCAUCAGUCAAAUUUCAGCAAGGAAUUCCGGGAAACUGAGUUCGUUUCCGAAGGACUCGAGCGUGUGCACAUGAAAUUGGAAGAAGUAUUGAAAGUCGGAAACGAGGCUAAGAUUGGGCGAGCACUCCAAUUCCAGUGUGCAGGUUUCGAGCAUGUGGUCGGGAAGCGUACAGGGGAGGCACAUGGCACGGCUUGGCGCAUUUCUCUUUAGUUUUAUCAAAAGAAGGUUUUGGUCCUUAACCGGAUUUUGUAGUAGCUUGUUUAUUUACUUUUUAUUUAUUUCCUACUCGUUUACAAAAAUUCCGGGAGACCCGUAACCCUG